UCCGGUUUGUCACCGGCAGUCACCUUAGAGUGCCCAACCUAAUGCUGGCAACUAAGAUCAAGGGUUGCGCUCGUUGCGGGACUUAACCCAACAUCUCACGACACGAGCUGACGACAACCAUGCACCACCUGUCACUCUGUCCCCGAAGGGAACGCCCGAUCUCUCGGGUUGUCAGAGGAUGUCAAGACCUGGUAAGGUUCUUCGCGUUGCUUCGAAUUAAACCACAUGCUCCACCGCUUGUGCGGGCCCCCGUCAAUUCCUUUGAGUUUCAGUCUUGCGACCGUACUCCCCAGGCGGAGUGCUUAAUGCGUUAACUUCAGCACUAAAGGGCGGAAACCCUCUAACACUUAGCACUCAUCGUUUACGGCGUGGACUAC
rnacentral:misc_RNA from 1 species